UGAAACCGUUCGGGGGAAAACGGACAGAGCCCGUGAAUCCGGGCGAGCGAAUUCAGGAUGGGCGGUGGCGUUGAAAGGCGUCGUCGUCUGUUUGAUAUUUCGCUCGCCGAAAAUUUCGCGGACGUCGCGACCCGUUCGACGUUAAACCUAAGGGUAAGCUGAAAGUUUUGGCGCGUGCGCUUGGUUCGCCGUGGGUGCGCGCCGAAGUCGCUUUUCCCCGUUUAACUUGUCGGACGGUAUGCUAAUGGCGUACGUCGUCGACCGCGCUCGCGUGAAAGCGUGGGCGAGCGUCGACAGUGCGUUGCCUGUCAGCGACGAAUCGUCGGGCCUCUUUCCGACCCGUCUUGAAACACGGACCAAGGAGUCUAACGUGUGCGCGAGUCGUUGGUCGUCGAAAUGGCGCGCGUAUCUCGUAUGCGCUCGUCAUUUCGUCAUUAGACGAAAUCCGACUGUAAAGGCGAAGUGAAAGCAAACUAAAAAACUUAGCGGGGAAGAUGGCGUUCCGUGUACACGUUUCGCGGCGUAUAAGUCGCGACCGGACGUCCGCAUUCCCAGGGCGUCCCAACGUCUGUUGGAUAGGGGAAACCUUUUCCAAUCGACGGGGGCGCACCUAUAGCGUACACGUUGGUACCCGAAAGAUGGUGAACUAUGCCUGGCCAGGAUGAAGUCAGGGGAAACCCUGAUGGAGGUCCGCAGCGAUUCUGACGUGCAAAUCGAUCGUCUGAGCUGGGUAUAGGGGCGAAAGACUAAUCGAACCAUCUAGUAGCUG
rnacentral:rRNA from 1 species